rnacentral:tRNA from 1 species
GGAGACGUCGCAUAGUCCGGCCUAGUGCACCACCCUGCUAAGGUGGAGUCCUCGCAAGGGGACCGAGGGUUCAAAUCCCUCCGUCUCCGCCA